rnacentral:rRNA from 1 species
GACGAACGCUGGCGGCGUGCUUAACACAUGCAAGUCGAACGGGCCUGUCUUCUUUUUUGGGGGUGGGUUGAGUGGCGAACGGGUGAGUAUCACGUGAGUAACCUGCCCUUCGGUCCUGGAUAACCGCUUGAAAGGGCGGCUAAUACGGGGUGGUCCGGUUGGUCCGCAUGGGCUGGUCGGGAUAGAUUCACUGUUUUUGGUGUUUCGGCGGGGGAUGGGCUCGCGGCCUAUCAGCUUGUUGGUGGGGUGAUGGCCUACCAAGGCGGUGACGGGUAGCCGGGCUGAGAGGGUGGGCGGCCACACUGGGACUGAGAUACGGCCCAGACUCCUGCGGGAGGCAGCAGUGGGGGGUAUGGCACAAUGGGCGGAAGCCUGAUGCAGCGACGUCGCGUGAGGGAUGGAGGCCUUCGGGUUGUGAACCUCUGUUUCCGGUGGUGAAGGCCCUGUCCGUGUGGUGGGGUUGACGGUAGCCGGGGAUGAAGCGCCGGCUAACUACGUG